rnacentral:rRNA from 1 species
UUAGAAUUGACGGGAGCCCGCACAAGCGGUGGAGCAUGUGGUUUAAUUCGAUGCAACGCGAAGAACUUACCUGGGCUUGACAUCCCGAGAAUUCCCUGGAACUGGGAAGUGCCCUCACGGGAACUCGGAGACAGGUGGUGCAUGGUUGUCGUCAGCUCGUGUCGUGAGAUGUUGGGUUAAGUCCCGCAACGAGCGCAACCCUCGACCUUAGUUGCCAGCAUUCAGUUGGGCACUCUAAGGUGACUGCCGGCUAAAAGUCGGAGGAAGGUGGGGAUGACGUCAAAUCAUCAUGCCCCUUAUGACCUGGGCUACACACGUGCUACAAUGGGCGGUACAAAGGGUCGCGAACCCGCGAGGGGGAGCCAAUCCCAAAAAGCCGCUCUCAGUUCGGAUUGCAGGCUGCAACUCGCCUGCAUGAAGCCGGAAUCGCUAGUAAUCGCGGAUCAGCAUGCCGCGGUGAAUACGUUCCCGGGCCUU